GGGCACAUGGUCUAGUGGUAUGAUAUUCGCUUUGCAUUCUCUACAGUUCUGACUGUCUAGGUGUAAUCUGCGAAGGGUCCGGGGUUCAAUUCCCUGUGUGUCCA